rnacentral:rRNA from 1 species
UACGGUGAAUACGUUCCCGGACCCUUGCACACACCGCCCGUCAAGCCCAUGGAAGCCGGGUGUACCUAAAGUACGGUAACCGUAAGGAGCCGCCUAGGGUAAAACGUAGGUGACUGGGGCU